rnacentral:rRNA from 1 species
GAUGAACGCUAGCGGCAGGCUUAAUACAUGCAAGUCGAGGGGUAACAUGGUAGCAAUACGGAUGACGACCGGCAAACGGGUGCGGAACACGUACAGAACCUUCCUUUAAGCGGGGGAUAGCCCAUAGAAAUGUGGAUUAAUACCCCAUAGUAAUGUUUAAUGGCAUCAUUAGAUAUUUAAAGAUUUAUCACUUAAAGAUGGCUGUGCGGCUGAUUAGGUAGUUGGUGCGGGUAACGGCCCACCAAGCCAGCGAUCAGUAACUGGUGUGAGAGCACGACCAGUCACACGGGCACUGAGACACGGGCCCGACUCCUACGGGAGGCAGCAGUAAGGAAUAUUGGUCAAUGGACGCAAGUCUGAACCAGCCAUGCCGCGUG